CGCGGGUUCAAUUCCCGCCGGCUCCACCA
rnacentral:tmRNA from 2 species